rnacentral:rRNA from 1 species
CGUAGGGCAACCUGCCUCAUAGAGGGGAAUAGCCUUCCGAAAGGGAGAUUAAUACCGCAUAAGAUUGCAGUACCGCAUGGUACAGCAAUUAAAGGAGCAAUCCGCUAUGAGAUGGGCCCGCGGCGCAUUAGCUAGUUGGUGAGGUAACGGCUCACCAAGGCGACGAUGCGUAGCCGACCUGAGAGGGUGAUCGGCCACAUUGGGACUGAGACACGGCCCAGACUCCUACGGGAGGCAGCAUG